CCAGAAAGCCCGUAGUGUGUUGUGUGUCUCUUCACUUCAUACUAUGUAUUUUCUAAGAACACGCAGGAAACCUUCAUCCAGCACCGGAUACCUUCCUUGGGCCGAGUGUCUGGACCUUACAAAGUGGUGACCCCGACGUGAUCUCCCUAAUUAUGCGAGUGACGUCUUUCCAGUGCUAAUUUCAAAUUGAUUCUCUCUGAAGAUAUAAGGUUUGAGCUUCUUCCCUGUCUACAACUGCUGUGGUAAGUUCAUUCAUUUUUCUUAUUAGAAGUGUUGAGGGAAAGCUUUUUGCAUUUCACAUACAGACACAUUUUUAGAAUGGGUCGACAUACCCAUUGUUAGACCGGAGACGUAGAAAUCCGGUGGGGGGAGAAUUAACCGGGAAACAUGGCUUUUCAGGGACAAUACAGUGACAGUGUAGAUCAGGAGAUCAUGGAAAUUCAAGCAUUACAAAUAAAAGACACACUUCUUAGUUUAAAUGAUAAAGGAUUCAAUCUUAAAUGGAAAAACAAUGAAAUUGUAGCUUGGUUUUUGGCCGAGGGCAAAAAAUUGGCAUCUAAAUCGAAAUAUAAGAAUAUCCCAACUGCUAUCGUCUACCUGCUUCGUAAAAAUGACCUCGAGACAAUAGCUGAAAACAAACGAACAAUAACAAGCAUCAAAGAAAUUGAAAAAGGGCGCUCUGAAGAAUUGCAAAAACUAAGAGCACAGAUAGAGGCAUUUACAUUCGAAAGACAAGGCUGGGCAAGACAGAGUGAGAUGAUGUCAAGAAAACUCGAAGAGCUUCAAAAGAAACUCCAAACCGGCAAUAAUUAUAUAUCAGCUCUUGAAGACUGCUGUAAUAAUGCGGGCUUCCCAGUGGCUGCAGUUAAGCAAGCGGCACUGCAUGAAACCUUUGAUUAUGAUAGAAACAGCGAUAGUGACGAUGAUGAUGUUGCCGCAUUAGAUUCUCAGAGAAACCGAGAUCCCGUCCAGAGACACGGAUAACAAAAUCAGCGAAGUCCGAUUAAAACCAGAGCAAAAUCCAGCGAAAAACCCUCCAAAUCAGUUAAAAUUGCUGUACUCAAAACCAUAACAAAUACAAACGAUGAAAUAACCACGAUUAGCCGCCCAUUAACAUGCGAAGAGUGUACAACACACAAACAGAUCGUGGGAAUGAUGCCCAGAAGAGGGCCAUUCCAACCCUAUUGGGAAACACUGAUGCUACAAGCCACAGUGUAUAAAUUGGAAACUAGAGAUGUAUGGCAAAUCGCACUCUUAACCAUUCCUGAAGAACUCCGAUCUAAAUUAACCUGGAAUAAAUCUGGAGACAUAAUCAAGCGAAACAAUAACGAAACUGAUGAAAGUAUCUUUGAACGAUUAAAACAGGCAUUGCUAGAUAUAAGGGGUCCAACAAGCGCAGAUUGGAGCAGGAUACUACAAAUUAAGCAGGAAAGCAAUGAACCGUUUGAAACAUUCGCCGAACGUCUGUGGACGAAUAUUCCGGUCUAAAAAAUGCAAGCCGUGAUCACGAACCAUUGUUACAACUCAUAAAGAACAAUGCUGGCACUCCAGUCCAAAAUGCUUUGUUAAACGGAGCAGAUUCAGCCGAAAACACAUUCAGAGCGAUUGUAGAUUGGGGUUCAAGGAUAGAAAACAGAUGGAAAUCAAAGCCCCAAACCAUUGCAUCUGCACAGUGGAUGACAGAAGGGAAUUAUUCUAAAAGCAAUGGGGGUGAAAAGCAUGUCCACUUCUUGGAGGAGGUGACUUGCUGUGAUGAAUCUAGAACUUUUAGUUCAUAGGAAGCCUGUGCCACUGGUCAAGAUAGUGUGCCGAUUUCAGUUCUUAAGGAGAUGCAGCACCAUAAUAGCGUAGAGUCGUGGACCAGUGCGCAAGGUGUAAAAAAAGCAUUAGAGAUUCAUAAAAAUCCUCAAACUUCAGGAGAACACAGCAAACAAACCUGUGGCAAAGAUAGCAGGUUUUGUUCUUCCUGUCAGAAAAUAGGCCAUACAGAGGAAAAAUGCUGGUCACUGGGAAGGGGUAGACCUCCACCUUAUUUUCAGAAACGUAGGAUAUCACUUUCUAAAGGAAAAGAUCAGGGGUUGACAUGUAACAAGUCUACCUCUGGUAUAAUGCAAGUUAAUGCAAGGCCUUCAGCUACUGACUUCACUUACUAGUGGGUUAGCAGUUUAAUAGCAAUGAGUUUAAUAUGGAAACAUCCAAAUUUCAAUAAUCCUGCUUGCAUUUUCAAAUUUAUAAUUGUGCUGAACAUUGUGAGCAUAGAAAACACAUUAUAGUUGUUUGUGCUACUAAAUGUACACAUAGCUUAGUUUAGUUUAUUCUUUAAAAAACACAUGACUGCUUUACUGUAAGUGUGUAAACACUUAGGUUUAAGGUUGUAGAUGCUACAUGCAUUCUAGACCAUGUGUCUUGUGUAAAAUUGGAAUAACUUUAAUACUGGAAUUGCAUCGCAAUUUCAAGUUGCAUGUGUGUCUGUGUUGAAUUUGUUUGUCUCCUGAGUGGUACACUCUGCUAUUUUCUGUAUAGCUGCAGUUAAACCAUGUAGAGGAGCAUAGAAUAGCCAUGUGGCCACAGUGUGAUUUCAUAAAUGUCUUAAUGAAAAUGCUCUCCUCACAUGUGAGAACUUAAACCUUGUGGCAGAUUGAUUGCUUCACAGUGCCAAAAGGGAGGAAGUGUGAUUUCAUUUCAAUAGUGUGGCACAAGCGAUAGCAAACCAAUUCAUCCUUCACUGAGGAGCACCAACUAAAAAUUUGAUCUGAUCAGAGAGAAUGGCUAACAUUAUUUGGAAAUGGAAACUCUGAAUUUGCAACUAAUCUUGUAAUAAUAAAAACAUUUUAUGGAAGUAUUUUGAGCCAGAACUCAACUCACACUCGCUCUUAGAGGCUAUUACCUGUUACAGCAACAGGACCAAAUUUACAUAACAAUUGUAAAACUUCCUUUCCUUUGUUUGGAGCAUGACAGCAUUUACACAAAGCCACAGUCGUAUACAGCCACAAAACACCAUUUGAUCUUUUAAUCUUUUAAAUUGACUUGAAAAAUAAUGAGAGGGGGGUGUAAAAUACAAGAAGUUUUUAUGUGCCACAGAGAUCUGCAUGUGUGAACAACACCAUAAAACAACAAUUGCCAUAAAACAACAAUUGUCAAACAGACAACACCAAAACAGGUGAACACAUUUCUGCCCACAGAUCUGACUGUAAUGAGAGCAACAGCAACUAAAGCCAUGGACAUUGGUCCAUUGGAAUGCAUGAUGACAUGGGUGAUAAAAACACCAAUUAAUCUAGAAAAUGUCCCCAGUAGAACUGGGAUCUCUAAUGCUCAUGACACAACAGACUGUGAGGGCUCUACUGCAAGAGCAGCAUCAGGUGUUACACACUCAGACUGCACUGAAACAGGAGCAGUAAUUCAGAUCUGACCAACCGAACUCCGUUUCAUGUGACAUCUGGAUUAAAACUGCAGUACAUGAGGAUGAACGUAGUUAAAAUAAUUCCACAUGCCUGAACAUGAAACUGAUGAAAAGUUCAAAAUUAACUGUGGUUAUCUUUGUAUCUGUUUCUGUCUCAGGUUGACCAAUGCAAUUCUUUGGAGGACAGAUACCAGGAGGGUGUCUUGUCCCCUCUGCACCAAGCCAGGACAACAGAAUUGUUACAUAACCUGAAAUGCGGGAGAUGAAUGUGAAGACACUUGAAGGGGCCAUUCACACCUCACAGGAGAACAUCACCACACAAAUAUCUACAUGGCCUCCCGGAUUAGAACCGGAACUAAAUUUUUGCAA